UGAGCCCAGCCUCUUCCUCUUAGUUUGUGACUCAACAUCUAAAGGCUGGAUUCACAUGAAGAGCUGUGGGCAGAGCUUGCUUAGAACCCCUUUAUCAGCAAGGGAAAAGAGGACUGCUUUGCAGGGGGAGGGAUUUCUUCUGGCAGAGCUCAAGUUCAGGGGAUGAGCAGCCAGAGGAGAUAGGGCCACAAGCUUUACUACACAAUGCUAUACAUGUCUGCUUAGAAGUUCUAUGGGACAUACUCCCAGAGGUCAACAUCUGGAAGCUCACAACCAGGACAUGAAGUUGAUGGCUGUUCACUGUUGCUUUAUUUCCAGCAUCUGCUAUUAAAAAGAUGGGAUAAAUCAGCAAACAAUUUCUGCUCCCGUUUUGGUUUUCAUUGGAAUCAUCCCUGCAAGAAAGAAUUCUUAUGUCUUCAUCAUAUCUAUUCUUUUCAUACUGUGCAUAACUUUAUAAACCUCCAGAUUUGAACAACUUUCGCCCAAUCUCAAAUUUACCAUUCUUGGGCAAGGUGGUUGAGCGGGUGGUGGUGAAGCAGUUGCAAGCGCAUUUGGAGGAAGCAGAUUAUCUGGAUCCAUUUCAGUUGGGCUUCAGGCCUGGACAUGGGACUGAAACAGCCUUGGUCGCCUUGGUGGAUGAUAUGAGGAGAGCGUUGGAUAGGGGUGAGUGCACCUUCCUCGUCCUCCUGGACCUCUCAGCAGCUUUUGAUACCGUUGACCACGGUAUCCUUCUGGAUCACCUGGAGGGGUUAGGCAUAGAGGGCACUGUAUUGCAGUGGUUCCAUUCCUUCCUCUCUUAUAGGCACCAAAGAGUAGCAUUGGGGAUGAGGUUUUGGACCCUUGGCCUCUCACUUGUGGGGUGCCACAGGGCUCCAUCCUCUCCCCGAUGCUAUUUAACAUCUAUAUAAAGUCGCUGGGGACUAUCAUCAGGAGAUUUGGGCUGCAGUGUCACCAAUAUGCGGAUGACACGCAGCUCUAUCUCUCAUUUACAUCUUCACCGAGGUUGGCUGUAGAAACCCUAUCCAAGUGCCUGGAAUCGGUGAGUGGCUGGAUGGGAAGGAAUAAGCUGAAGCUGAACCCUCACAAAACCGAGGUACUGUUCAUGGGAGACAAGGGAAGGUUAGCGGAUUUGGACCUGGUGCUCAAUGGGGUACAAUUGCCCCUAAAAGACCAGGUCCGUAGCCUCUGAGUCAUUCUUGACUCCCAACUGUCCAUGGAAGCUCACGUUUCGGCUGUGAACCGGGCAGCGCUGUAUCAACUCCAUCUGAUACGGAGGCUAUGCCCCUACCUUCCCAAUCAUCUGCUCCCAUUGGUGGUACAUGCCCUGAUCUCCUCUUGCCUAGAUUACUGUAAUGCGCUCUACAUGGGGCUACCCUUGAAAAUGGUCCGGAAGCUGCAACUGGUACAGAACGCGGCGGCGCACCUGAUUAAAGGCAGCCGCUGGUGAGAUCAUAUCACUCCAGUGCUAAAAGAGCUGCACUGGUUACCAGUUGCUUACCGGGCCCAAUUCAAGGUGUUGGUUUUGACCUUUAAAACCCUAUACGGUUUUGGCUCAGUCUAUCUAAAGGAGCGCCUCCAGCAUCAUCAGCUAUGCCGCCCAACAAGAUCAGCCUCAAAAGACCUUCUCUCCGUCCCAUCAGUCAAAACAGCCAAACUGGUGAGGACUAGAGAGAGGGCUUUUUCAAUUGUGGCCCCCACCCUGUGGAACUCCCUCCCAAAUGAUCUCCGCCAUGCCCCUUCUAUGAUGAGUUUCCGCCGGGCCUUGAAGACCUGGCUCUUCAGGCAGGCUUUUAGAGUGGGCUAGAUUUUAUCUUCAUUGCUUUUAGAUUCUCAAUGUCUAGGCAUUAUAUGCCUAUGUUGUACAUC